GAUGAACGCUGGCGGCGUGCCUAAUACAUGCAAGUCGAGCGAACAGACGAGGAGCUUGCUCCUCUGACGUUAGCGGCGGACGGGUGAGUAACACGUGGAUAACCUACCUAUAGACUGGGAUAACUUCGGGAAACCGGAGCUAAUACCGGAUAAUAUAUUGAACCGCAUGGUUCAAUAGUGAAAGACGGUUUUGCUGUCACUUAUAGAUGGAUCCGCGCCGCAUUAGCUAGUUGGUAAGGUAACGGCUUACCAAGGCAACGAUGCGUAGCCGACCUGAGAGGGUGAUCGGCCACACUGGAACUGAGACACGGUCCAGACUCCUACGGGAGGCAGCAGUAGGGAAUCUUCCGCAAUGGGCGAAAGCCUGACGGAGCAACGCCGCGGGAGUGAUGAAGGUCUUCGGAUCGUAAAACGCUGUUAUUAGGGAAGAACAAAUGUGUAAGUAACUAUGCACGUCUUGACGGUACCUAAUCAGAAAGCCACGGCUAACUACGU
rnacentral:rRNA from 1 species